ensembl:lncRNA
CGGGACUGCUGGGAGGAGAACCAAAAUGGCCCCCAGCAAACUCCACUGAGACCUGUGCCGGGGCGGGGUCAGUGGCGCUCUCCUCACGGUCCCCGAGAUUUCGUGUGUACCCCUGGUCUCAGCAACCACGCAGGUCCCCAGAGCUGGCCGCCCUGCCGUGGACUUGGUCCUGCCUGUGAUGUCCCCAGCGCCCCGCCAGCAGGACUCACAGCUGCACCCCAGCGAGCGGGUCUAGGGCAGUCGGAAGGCCUCUCUGGCUCAGCGUCCCACCUGCAAAGGGACAGACUGGAUGCCCCUGAGAGCCAUCGGUGCCGGUCGUGCAGGGGCUCCCGGCCUGGAUUCUGGGGGGCUGUGUCUCCGUGGAGACAGGAGGCCCUGCGGCAGCCGCAGCCCGCCACCCACGCACAGGCAGGCGUGGGGCGGGGCGCUGCGGUCCCGUUGCCAAGCGCAGAGAACUCUCCACCGGGUCCAGGGUUCCGUCACCAUGGCAACUGCUGGGGCUGGAAGCAGAACUCCUCAGAAUUCUGAAGAACAUAUGGGGGAGGGGAGAACAAGAGGGGGAGCCCCAAGCAGGCCCCCCGGGGGGGGGGCUGCCGCACCCAGUGGCUCCCCCUCCUCUGCCCCCUUCAUUCCCGUCUUCUCCUGAGCGUUCUCUCCUUGCUUUUUCUCCUCUCUCUAGGUCCUCCACAACCUUCCCUGAACCUUGGCUCCUACGAGCAGAAGGCGAUGUUUGCUGGCCACCUAGUACGCACCCGGCACCGUCCCAGGUGCUUUAUGCAUCUGAGCUCAUUUAACCCUCUCGCUGCUGUGUGUGCUUUGAUUGGACGGACUCCAUCUCUACACAUCCCACUGGCUGUUGGCCGGGCCACUGAUUGGCUGCUCUGAGUCCAGUGCUUUCCCCUGAUCCAAUCAGCUGUAACCAGGGAGGCGGGGUUCCAUGAUUGCUGCUGACAUAAUGGAUGUAUUUCUUCACUGGUGAAGCCAUUUGGAACUGGGGAGUCUCUUACCUGAGCAGGCAUCUCACUAACUUGCAUUUGGGUCUCAUGCCUUUGGUGGUGAGUAACUUGCUUCUCUGCUUCUGUGCGGUCAGGUGAGUUGGAGUUUCUCUUACUAGUAACCAAAACCUUGUGGCUGGCGCCUCUGGUUUAUUCCAAGAGUGAAUGAGUAAGACCUGGACAAGGGCAGUCGUGACCUUACAGAACUGAGGUGACGGGAUCCAGAAUGCUGCGUCAGGAAACCCGGAAGCCCCGCUUCUGUUAGCAAGCCUCCUUCCAGCGUCAGCCAAAACUGACCAAGGAGGCUUGCGUUUCCAUCUGCAGGCGCCAAGGUGCCUGUACUCUGAAAGACCAGUGGAAUGAGCUCAUCCACUCUGGUUACGCUGGGAUCUCUGAAUGCCCAGCCUGGGCCAGUUCUCCCAGUUGAGGAACCAGCUUUCUCUCCCCCAAGGGGGCAGGGGAGUGUGUCUGCAGCCAGAGGCCCUCCCGGCGCCCACCGGGCUCACCGCAAGUCUCCCAUCAAGCCGGUCCUACAAACGUUCCCCCGUCUGCCCAGCUCCUGACACCGAUGAUGGGAGGGACUGUGAUGCCUGUCCCGUGUACUGUUGAUGCCUCUCUCUGUGGGCAGGGUGUGCCAGCUCCACACUGAGUACUGGGAAGGAAGGGGGCACAGGGGCGCCGUGGGAGGCAGAGCACCUUUUACUCCAGAGUAAGACUAGGCAUUAAAGAGCACCCCGCCCAAUUCCCCCACCCCCCAGCUUCUUCGUGCACACCUCUGAAGACACAGAAUCAUCUCUUUGCUAAUUUAUGGAGUCUUCCUUGACAUGAAGGCAAAUAAGCCUCUUCAUUACUUCCGCCCAUCAUAGUUUUCCUUCGAGGAUCACUGGGGGGCACGCCUAACUCUCCACACUGAAUCCCACCUGUUUGUUUCACCAGUUCACCUAUGCCCCAGCCUCCAGGACCCUGACAGCUCCAGUCAUUUAUGUUGCCUCUUUCUAAGUAGGGAAUGCAAACAGCAGCCCAAAGGCCAGAUCCGGCCCACUCCUUGUUUUGUAAAUAAAGUUUUAUUCAGACACAGCCACACUUACUCAAUUGUUGUCUGUGGCUGCUUUUGAUUUGCAAAGGCCAAGUUGAAUAGUUAACACUGACCUACUGUAUGACCUACCAAGCUUAAAACAUUUACUCUCUGACCGUUUACAGAGAGACUGUUCUGAUUUCCAUUCUGAAGCAUCAGUGGUCCCUUAAACAGAACAAAAACCCCAGGUAUGGCCUGACCUUCAGGAUGGACACGUCCCAAGGUGUCCCCUCCCGGGAUCCUGGGUGUGUGCUUGGUGCAGGCUCAGAAUCUGCGUCUCUCAGCAGCCAUGAUGUGACGUUGGCUCCACGAGAGCCUGUGGUCAGCAGGAGUGUCCAGGGCACUCUCGCACGGCCUGCUGCCCAAACAAGGGCCUGACCUGCGUUCAUCUUGGGUCAUUUUUCUUUGUUGCCUUUGUCCCAGCUUCUUGCCCAACAGAGACUGUUUUGAACCAUAAGUCCCGCAUCCAUCUAUGAACCAGCCCUCCCAGCUUUGCUAUAGACUGUCCCUGGCUUACAGCAAUUUUUUGACUUCAUGAUGGUGCAAAAGCAGUGUGUGUUCAGUGGAAAUCACGCUCCAGAUUCUGAGCUUUGCUCUUCUCCUGUCUGUGGGAUGUGGCACCGUCCUCUCGUGAUGCUGGGCAGUGAGCCGCAGCUCCUCGUCAGCCGUCUUGAGAGUGCACCCCAAACACUCACAGCCGUUCUGGGCCCGGACCACUGUUCCACUUUUCACUUUUCACCUUCAAUAUAUGACACGAGAUACUCAAUACUUAUUUAUAAAAUGGCCUUUGUUUCCGGUAACUUUGCCCAGCUGUAGGCUAAUGCAAGAAGGUCUCUAGGUAAACCCAUGCACACAGCAGGAUGUAACCCGCUGUAAGUUGAGGAAGACCUAUAUUUAUUCAGCUUCCUUUCUGGGUCUUCAUCCAGAUCGUCGAUUCUAAGAGCAUGGCGCUGGAGACCGCCUUUCCCAGCUGUCCCUGACCUACUUAUCAAUGGUCCUUGGACAUCGUUAAUCAGCCAGUCUCCACCCGCAAACUGCAAGCUUCCCUUUACCAUGUCAUCAGUAAGGGUGUUCAGGCCAUUUUGUCGAAUCGUUGACGGGGUUUCUAUUGUCAAACGCCACCACCCGCCUUUUAGGAAACAGACUUGUGGAACUGCAGAAGAGACUUGGAAAUCCGCUAACUGAUCCUCUUUUCUCGCAGAUGGUGAAACCAAGGCCCAGAGCAGUGAGCAGUCCAAGGUGACAGAGUGGACUGGCGGCGGAGCCGGGAGUGGGUGCUCUUUGCCUGACACCCUGGUGAUUCAGACUGCGUGUGAGCAGCUAACUGCUGUAACAGACGGGCCCAGAAUGUGGUGCACCGCCGCAGCAGAAGCCACCUCUGUCCACGCUCAUCCUGGUUCUUGAAGAGCUCCUUGUCCGCAUGAGGCCUCGGCAGCCUUCUCUGAAAUCGAGGCUGCUGACUAGUUGGCCUUUCUGAUCCCUUCCCGUUUGGACCAAGUCUUGUCUCAGAAAACAGCAUGUGACGCUCCCAAGGCCAUGAUGGGGCCCAGGGCCGGAUCUGGUCAGCCUGGCUCUGGAGGCCUUUCGCUGGUCCUGCUCCGCUUCCGCUGCGGGAACCCCAGAGGAACGGCCCGAAGGCGGUGGGGCCCCUGUCCCCGCCGCCCCUCUCCCGCCGGCCUCAGCGGCAGGAAGCCCCCGGCCCUCGCGCCCCGGCUCCGCUCCCUCGGCCUCUGUCGCAGCCUCAGCCCCGCACCUGCAGGCCUUCCCGCCCCCUCCGAGCCCGCAGGAGCUGGGGGCCUGGCUCCUCUCCCGCACGGGUGAGGGGGCGUUAGCACUGCCCGAGGGGGCAGGAGGGCCCCGCUCACGGCACAGGGGCCCGCGGUCCCCAGGCGCUUUCGGACGAGGCCGCCUGCCUCCUGGGCCCCGAGGCAGGAGGCCCAGCGGGCAUGAAGAAGGCAGCAAACAGAGGCAGCGCAAUAAACGAGGAAAAGAAAGCGUUUUAGAAAGACGUUGGUACGGAGUGUUGUAAAAAGCCCUUUCAAAAUAAUGAACAUGAAAAAAAAUCAGAACUCAUUUGGAC